GUUCUAUUCUCCUUUUUUUUUUGCCUAUGAAUGCUUGAACAUUGUAUCUUUAGGUGCUGUUACGAUGAUAUAUGGGCAUAAAAGUCUAAUCUCCAGCAUUGAUUCGCUCUUUAAGGGUGAUAAUAUAACACUUAAACUUGCAUAUCACCGAUAUGACCACUCCUCAAAUGGCCUUCAAUACAUUUUCCAGCACUGGAAUAUCUCCUCAUUUGUACUGAUGCUGGUCCUGAUUCAGAUUUAUAGUUACAAAACAUGUGGGUGAUAGUAUAACACUUAAACUUGCAUAUCACCGAUUUGCCCACCCCAGAAAUGGCCUUCAAUACAGCUUCAGCACUGGAAUAUCUCGUCAUUUGUACUGAUGCUGGUCCUGAUUCAGGUUUAUAGUUACAAAAAGAUGUGUACACUGUACAACUUGAAUUAGUUCUGAUGUGUACACUUCACAACUUGAAUUAAUUCUAAUAUCAUUAGUGCAUUUAGAUUUUAAACUACUCAAGUCUGUCAUUAUUCCUCAUAAAUUGAGUUGCUUAAUCACACUGUUUCCUAUGCAGAUCUCAUGUUCGUCGCCCACCUUUGUUAUCCAUAAAGAAACUAAGAAAAGUUGUUCUGUAGCAUAAAUGAAACAUUUGAGGUUUGUCAUUUCAAGCAUCAGACCAGGCUUUAAUAUAUUAUAUAAUAUAUAUAGGAUAAACCUGAGUAGUGCAAAGGAUUCACAGAGGAAGUGCAAAUAUUAUUUUGGGAGAGAAUGGACAAAAUCACUGGUUAGAAAGACAAGAUUUCAUUAACAACUUAAGGUCUAGAGAGGCCUCAGGCUCUGCUCAUCACUCUCUCGCUCUCAGUAUUUACAUUUCACUACAUUAUGUACAGUCACCCCACGGUUGCCAGGCGCCCAAAUUUGCCUGCACCACCAACAGAUCCAAUCUCAUCCUUGCACCUGCCAGCAGCACCCAUAUCCACUCUGCCGCCACCACUGCCACCUCCACCACCACGACUCUUUCCUUUGCGUGGACUUGCACACUUCCUGCAGAUGAACUUAUCAGGAACUUCUUGAAAAUCGCUGAUCCCUGAGCACCUGGUGUGCUGCCAGACUCCACACACAUCACAUGCCAUCAUCCUCUCACCGUCAUCGUCCUUGGCACCGCAUGUACAGUCCACCGUCCAGUUCUCCAAACCCCUCUCCAUCCUGAACUGUACAAUUCUCCGGUGAUCCCCAGUGCACCGUCCUCUCACCCUUACAAGCUGGCUUGAGCCAAGCACAUGCUUCACAGGUGUUGUGUCACUUAAGUUUAGGAAGUCAGGGAGCUGUUCAGCCUGGAAGCUAUGGAACAUGAGGUACGUUUCUUGAAAGACCUUUGCAGCCUGGAUUUUCAGUUGACCGAGGGUAGCACUUUCUGGUAAAAUUAGAAGUUCCAUCGGUGGUGCAGUGUAGUCCUUUGGAUGAUCAAGCAGUUCAAUGGAGCAACUCACAGAAAGCAGGUUUGGGUUGAAAAGAGCUUCUGGAGCACUCUCAUCAUAGUGUUUGAUGAACUGCUUGCAGUCCAGGAUUUUUGCAGCUGCAUUGUGUGAUGAUGCAACCACCACCUCUGGUUGUGAAGACAGCAUCGUUUCAGGGUUCAGCAGAGCAUCAUAGAGGAAUCGAAGAUCGUGUACUAAAUGCUCGACAGAGGGCCCAAACACAGUUCUGUCUACUGGGGACUGAUUGGAGUAUGUUUCCAGCCUGCUUGCCAUGAAAUACAAGUCAAGAGGAUUGCCUAAUGAAGUUCUGCGAAGUGGAGCAACAUACUGGAAAAAAGGUUUACCUGUAUUCAAUUGCACUCGUCUCAGCAUUGCAGCGGACAGCAAUGAAAUGGCCAUCAUCCAUCAGUUUUCCUCGCAAUCCUCGGAGGGAAUAAUCCAGCAGCUCCUGUGAAUCAACAGCCUUGGAUGCAGCUCCCCUGAGUGCACGCCAAGACACCCAGCGUCCUGUCUCGACAGCACGGAGAAUCUUGAGCAUUGCAGCUUCGGCUCGAUCGACAUCUUCUUUGUUCCACAUGCAGAGCACAUUGGAUUCAACUACUCCAUCCAUCACUGGUUUUGACAUCUCAGCAUCCUUACGGGCUUGAUGAAGCAGGUGCAUUAUGAACCGGAAGAGGUCCCUCACAGUCACAAGCUGUCGAUCGGAUAGGGCCCAAUACAGAGCAAUCGUGUUCUGUAAUGGGGUCCUGAUGGUGUUGCGAUGUGAGAAGUACAGCGCCAGGUGUAUGCCAGAGAGCACAUCAACUGCCUGUUGGUAGGUGUCUGAGGUAUGUGCAAAGCUACCAGCGCCAAACUUAUAUCCCCAUUCACCGUACCACGGAUGACCACUUGUGAUGGCAUGCAGAAGCCUGUAGUCCAUUCCAUGCUUCUUGGAUAUGUCCAUGACAGUGACCUUCCUGCAAGUUGGCAAAUGGCAUUCUUAGUGUUGUGGCUGGAUGGUUUUUGAAUGAUGGUAAAGGUUCAUGUCACGCUAACUGCACCACUGUGUACCAACAGUAAAGCCGUUUACCUCACAUGCAGCACAUUGCAGAGGCGAUCCCAGAAGCUCAUUAUGUCACGGCCAGUAAGAAGCCUUGACCCUCCUUCACGGCCAUUUACCCUGAGAAGAUGUCCAUAGCCGUUUGCGUGAACAACUGCAUGCAGCAAGUGUGAGGAAUCAUCCAGAUGCAGGUAUCCGCACUCUUCCAGCUCCUCGCCUUCCAUGUCAAAGUUGCACAAGAGGCACCUGGAGAAGAAAUUGCAGCCAUGGUCAGGAUACGUCGUAGCAUCAUCGAGCAGAAGAAUAAUUACAUCCACAGCACACGGAAUAGGUGGUCGGAACAGAUUGUACAACCGAACUGCAAAUCGAAAGCAUGAACUGGAACAGGUUGGGGAGCUUUGCAUGACGGGAAAUCAACUGAGCAUGCGAUUCAUUUCUUCGGUGGUAUCUCCAUAUGUUACUACGGUUACACAGAAAGUAGUGUAUGAUUGUUCUGUCCAGAAAUUAACAAUGCUGGUUGCUCCCACCUUGAUUCUGCAGCGGCCAUGGGAGUCCCGCAGCGGAGGCAGCAGGUGCGUCGACGGCCAGCCAUCUGGAUGCUGUCGUUCUCGAUGAUGAAGUGGUACCGCUUCCCGCACACCGGGUGGCCGCUCCAUCCUGCAAC